ACUAUGCUACUACAGGGAUAACUGUAGUAAUUCUAGAGCUAAUACGUGCCUCGAGGCCCUGAUCCGCAAGGUGAGGGGUGCACUUAUUAGUCUGCAAACCAAACGAUUCGUCGUUGUUUGUGGUGACUCUGGAUAACUUUGUAUGAUCGCAGCUGGCCCUCGUGCCGGCGACGGAUCCAUCAAAUAUCUGCCCUAUCAACUUACGAUGGUAGGUGAUAUGCCUACCAUGGUUAUGACGGGUAACGGGGAAUCAGGGUUCGAUUCCGGAGAGGGAGCCUGAGAAACGGCUACCACAUCCAAGGAAGGCAGCAGGCGCGUAAAUUACCCACUCUCUGAACGAGGAGGUAGUGAAGAUAAAUAUCGAUACAGAACUCAUUUGAGGCUCUGUAAUCGAAAUGAGUGCAAUAUAAAUCCUACAACGAGGAUCUAUUGGAGGGCAAGUCUGGUGCCAGCAGCCGCGGUAACUCCAGCUCCAAUAGCGUAUAUUAAAGUUGCUGCAGUUAAAAAGCUCGUAGUUGGAUCUGGGCCAUCUAGUGAUAGCUAUCUGGUUGCGGUUUGCUAACGCUUAUCGUGGCUAGUUGGUAUUCGCUGGUGGCUUCGUAGCUAUGUUCACUUGAUUUCGGUCUUGUGAAUGAUAUUGGGUGUCUGUGUUUGCUCCUUCACGGGGGUGAAUGCGGCUCAGUAUUAUGUUCUGUUGAUGCCCUUAACCGGGUGUCCGGAGCUCAUAGCACGUUUACUUUGAACAAAUUUGAGUGCUCAAAGCAGGCCGUUUGUUGCCUGAAGAUUCUUGCAUGGAUAUGGGGAAAUUAGGAA
rnacentral:rRNA from 1 species